rnacentral:rRNA from 1 species
UGGCGGCGUGCCUAACACAUGCAAGUCGAACGAAGCAUCUUACCUGAUUCUUCGGAUGAAAGUUUGGUGACUGAGUGGCGGACGGGUGAGUAACGCGUGGGUAACCUGCCCUGUACAGGGGGAUAACAGCUGGAAACGGCUGCUAAUACCGCAUAAGCGCACGAGGAGACAUCUCCUUGUGUGAAAAACUCCGGUGGUACAGGAUGGGCCCGCGUCUGAUUAGCUGGUUGGCAGGGUAACGGCCUACCAAGGCAACGAUCAGUAGCCGGUCUGAGAGGAUGAACGGCCACAUUGGAACUGAGACACGGUCCAAACUCCUACGGGAGGCAGCAGUGGGGAAUAUUGCACAAUGGGGGAAACCCUGAUGCAGCAACGCCGCGUGAGUGAAGAAGUAUUUCGGUAUGUAAAGCUCUAUCAGCAGGGAAGAUAAUGACGGUACCUGACUAAGAAGCUCCGGCUAAAUACGUGCCAGCAGCCGCGGUAAUACGUAUGGAGCAAGCGUUAUCCGGAUUUACUGGGUGUAAAGGGUGCGUAGGUGGCAGUGCAAGUCAGAUGUGAAAGGCCGGGGCUCAACCCCGGAGCUGCAUUUGAAACUGCUCGGCUAGAGUACAGGAGAGGCAGGCGGAAUUCCUAGUGUAGCGGUGAAAUGCGUAGAUAUUAGGAGGAACACCAGUGGCGAAGGCGGCCUGCUGGACUGUUACUGACACUGAGGCACGAAAGCGUGGGGAGCAAACAGGAUUAGAUACCCUGGUAGUCCACGCCGUAA